CCUCCUUCCGUCUACUUCAAGUCCUUUUUACUUAAGAAAAGGACCACCUAUGGCUAUUAACCAGACAUGACCUAUCAAGUUACAGUAAGACUAGGCAACUCCCUCCUGUUAAGGCUAGAGAGGAAGUCCAGUAGGAGAAAAGGGUCAGUUCCUAAGGCAUGACACAGAAUCAGAGAAAGCCUCUGCUCCCACUGUUAAGAGUUCCAAAGAAGACCAAGAUCUAGAACCUGUACACAUCUCUGCAUCUUUUAGAACCUAUCACCAAACUCUAUUAAUGAAGAAAGUGACGGGCACUUUGUGUUUCGUGGUAUUAUAGAAGAGAUUUAGUUGUUUACACAAGGAUGAAGGAAUUACCCAGUUUGUAGCUCUUGAGGAAGUAGAAUUGUGGAUUCCUUCACAUUCCCCAUUAUGUGCUGGGAAGUGAGGUCAUAGAGGCAAAAGAUGGACAGUAAAACAAAGAUUAAACCCCUUGCGUAUAGGGAUGAAUUUCAGGGCCAAUUGAAGAAUUAUAUGUCAGCUUAUUGUAGAACUUCCCGUUAAAUCUAUACUGAAUGAAUCCUCAAAAAGGCUUUGAGCUAGAUUGUAGGCAUAAAUUUUUUGCAACCUACUUUUAGUAAGGGUUCAAUCUCUCUUAUAGCCCACCACCCAGCAGAGAUACUGGAAAAGAAAAGUUAUUAGGAGGCGAGCAAAGUGGACCUGUUUGGCAAUGGUUCUUUGGGGGCAAUAUUGAUUUUUGGCCGCAGUUCAGUCCUGUAGCAAACACCAAAUAUGACUCAGCAGCUACAGGCCGGUCCUCUAGGCAAGCAGACUCCAUCUACAAACUGACAGCUACAGUUCAGUCCUUUAAGCAAGCAAACACCAGGCAGCUGUAGUUCAAUCCUGAAGAAAGCGCCAGGCUUACCAACUGGCCUAAGCCAAGGCCAUAAAAGCAGCAAGCUGCCACAGGAACCUCAGGAGCAGUUCUUGGAAUAAUGCCAGAGCAGUCUGACCCCCAAAGGACACAUUAGCACUUCGAGACCUAUUUCCUGUUCUUCUUUCCUCAUACUGCAGCAAACAUCCACUGGAACAUGAGACACUUAUUAUGGCCGCACCCUCAAAGAAGAAUAAUUGUCCUUCUCCCAGCAGCUGUCAACUGCCAAUUGUUCCUCAGGGAGAAAUGGGGCACGGAGAGCAUCUCUCCUUACAUGUUGGUGAUUUAACUGGCUUAGUGUUGUACAGGUCUUUUGCAGGUAAACAAAUCUACUAUGAAUUCUUGAAUAAAAUAUCGAUUAUGUUCAGAA
rnacentral:sRNA from 1 species